UAAACCAGUGGUUUAAAAGUGAUACCUAUACGAUUCCCAGACAAGGCUAAUGGUAAAUCUAUAAAAAAAAUGGAAGGCCAAGUCGUUACAUCUUAAGCAUAUUAUCCGAGGAACUUGUUCUGUCCCACAACUUGGAGGGGGGCAAAACAAGAAGAAGCUCAGACUACCCACAUUUCGUCCGCGCUUUAUUAAAUGCAAUCGCCCUGGUGGAUCCCUCGGAGCCUCCCGAA